AUUUGAAGUCAGCACACCCAUUGACUAGUUGUAUUGAAUCCUCAAUAGAACACCAUGUCUAACAGUGAAAGCCACUCUAGGUCGACUAUACGUUUCCAGUACAUCAGUCUACUGAGCUAUGAACUAACCUCCUGAACUUUACGGCUCAAGCAGGGUGCAGCAAAAAGAGCAUACAAGAACUAGAUGAAUCAUUAAAUCAACAGCUCCACAACAAACAGGGAUUAAGAUAAACAUUAGGGAAUGCCAAAGUCUGGGCUCAACGUCCUCCUAAUUUCAAAUGUUAAACAAAAACAAGAAUCAGGUCAAACCUUCAUGUUCUAGUAUCAUAACAGAAGUAUGAAAAAUAAUACGACUCGAGAGUAUAUAGACGUUCCUUUGACAUGAGAGCACUCCAGGAACAUAGACCAACAAAUAAGAAUUGCAGCACACUGUUGACAUGGGAAUGGACUAUAUUCCAACAAUUGGAACCUUGAACUUUCAUGAAUAACCACAAGACUUUCCUUUUGUUUCCAACAGUUUGAACUUGGUUUUUUAGUUGGACCUCAAGGGCAGCUAAACACAGUAGCAUACCAGAGAAAAACUCACCCAGAUCCUAGACUUUCUAGUACAUGAGUAGGCAUGGAAUUUAAGAUUAGAAAAACACACGAGUCUAGCAAUAGCACUCCCUUUGAUAGCUCAAUAAUUUAGACUAACUAUAGCUUUAAAACAAGCAUUGAAUUGCUUAUCUCCCAACAUUCAUAGCAGAUCUUGAUAAACACCACUGACUAAAUGACACAGCAAAAGAAACAGUCGUUUGCUGAUUUCAUAAGAAUAUAUUGAAGCUAAAGAUGAACAACAAAUCCUACAUUAAUUUAGGCACAACAAAUUACAACUCAAAUUAGCAGGGAAAGACCUGACAAUGUUCAGCAAUGCAGCAACUCAAGCAGACAUCCAACCUCAAACAUGAUGUCACAUUCCAAUAACAGAACCAUUCAAAUAGAUAUUUAAACUAAGAAAAUUAACUCGAGAUCUUGACAUAAAUGAAAACUCGACAUUAUGAUAGCAAUUAAAGCAUAAGCAUAGAGGACGACACUUCAAACUCAGUUUUUACUGCCUGAACAUAAUCAACUACAUCACACCACUGCAAAGAGAUUCACCAGCAAAAAAUUCGAUCAUAACACAAAACAUACCACUAUAAACUAAAUCUUAUAGCUCAAAAGCACCAAAACAAAACAUAGUCACAUAGGACAAUAGAGAGGGAAAUUGAACCUGAAUUUGCAAAUCUCUUUUAUAACAAUUAUAAACUCGACCAAACGACAGUAGAAAACCAAGCUCGAACUUCAAUUUGUAUCUCCUUGGAACUCACAUCCGGACUCAAAAAUAAAAAUUAUAUAUAUGUAUCUCUUAAACUUUGAAAGAACUCUUCAAAAAAUAAAUGGAAUUGGAAAACCAGAAAAAAUCGAAGCCUUUCAACUUUUCUCUGAAACUUUUUCCCCCCUUUCUAAAAAUUGAAACUGGCCCUCUUUGAAAAUGAAUCCCUUGAUGAACGUAGGGCUCAUAUUAAAUGAAAUCAAUAUGUCUCACACUCGUCCAGCGAAUCCGAUCCAGAACCUUCCAAUUUAUGAGAUAUAUCAAAUUCGAGUGGUGAGAGAGGAGAGGAAUAUCGCGUCAGAAACCAUUAGAACUGUAAGGGGAGGAAUUGGGGAAAGUAUGGUUGAUGGUUUGAGCUUCAAUCGCCUAAACUUAGGCGUUUGAGAGUCAAUUUAGGUGAGGAAGAUAGUAAACGCUGAGGCGUAUACAAUCUUAGGAGAUUAGGGCUCUGUGAGUGAGUUCUCGUG
rnacentral:lncRNA from 1 species